GAUGAAGAACGUAGCGAAAUGCGAUAAGUAAUGUGAAUUGCAGAAUUCAGUGAAUCAUCGAAUCUUUGAACGCACCUUGCGCUCCUUGGUAUUCCGAGGAGCAUGCCUGUUUGAGUGUCAUUAAAUUCUCAACCUUAUUGGCUUUUGCUGAUAAUGGCUUGGACUUGGGGGUCUUUUUGCUGGCUUUCAUUAGUCUGCUCCCCUUAAAUGUAUUAGCCGGUGCCCCGCAGUGGAACCGUCUAUUGGUGUGAUAAUUAUCUACGCCGUGGACGUCUGCUAUAAUGGGUUUGCGCUGCUUCUAACCGUCUCUCGGGACAACACAAAUGACAAUUUGACCUCAAAUCAGGUAGGACUACCCGCUGAACUUAAGCAUAUCAAUAAGCGAGGA
rnacentral:misc_RNA from 1 species